rnacentral:rRNA from 1 species
AUACGUAGGGGGCGAGCGUUGUCCGGAUUGAUUGGGCGUAAAGGGCGCGUAGGCGGCCCGGUAAGUCUGGAGUGAAAGUCCUGUUUUUAAGAUGGGAAUUGCUUUGGAAACUGGGGGACUUGAAUGCAGAAGAGGAGAGUGGAAUUCCAUGUGUAGCGGUGAAAUGCGUAGAUAUAUGGAGGAACACCAGUGGCGAAGGCGACUCUCUGGUCUGUUAUUGACGCUGAGGCUCGAAAGCGUGGGGAGCAAACAGGAUUAGAUACCCUGGUAGUCCACGCCGUAAACGAUGAGUGCUAAGUGUUGGAGGGCUUCCACCCUUCAGUGCUGCAGUUAACGCAUUAAGCACUCCGCCUGGGGAGUACGGCCGCAAGGCUGAAACUCAAAUGAAUUGACGGGG